rnacentral:rRNA from 1 species
CCGCACAAGCGGAGGAACAUGUGGUUAAUUCGAUGAUACGCGAGGAACCUUACCUGGGCUUAAAUGUAGAGUGCAUUUUUAGAGAUAGAAAUUCCCUUCGGGGCUUUCUGCAAGGUGCUGCAUGGUUGUCGUCAGCUCGUGCCGUGAGGUGUCGGGUUAAGUUCCCAUAACGAGCGCAACCCUUAUCGUUAGUUGCCAUCUGGUAAUGCAGGGACUCUAGCGAAACUGCCACCGUAAGGUGAGAGGAAGGUGGGAUGACGUCAAAUCAGCACGGCCCUUAUGUCCAGGGCUACACACGUGUUACAAUGGUCGGUACAGAGGGCAGCUACCUGGUGACAGGAUGCUAAUCUCGAAAACCGGUCUCAGUUCGGAUCGAAGUCUGCAACUCGACUUCGUGAAGCUGGAUUCGCUAGUAAUCGCGCAUCAGCUAUGGCGCGGUGAACUACGUUCCCAGGCCUU